AGGAAGUGGCGGAAAGAAGGAAGUGGCAGAAGGAAGGAAGGCAAUAAUUUCUCCUAGAGGACUGCUGAAAAAGUGAAGACCUCCUGAAUGUGCAUGCAGGGCUUCCCUCCUGGACCCAGGAGGGUCUCUGAGAGCUCACAUAAGUUGGGGAAAUUUGGUGAGAAAAAUGAUUCAGGCCAAGCACAGCAAACCAGUCUAGCACCUGAGCUGACAUCAAACAAGACUUUGGAAGAAGAAGCUUUCAUUCUUAAGCUGAAACGGCAAGCCUCUUUUGAGAAAGAAACUGUCUUCCAGUAAAAUGGAGCCUUGGUCCCAGCUGGAGACCCUUUGCAUUACUCUUACGUAAAUACUGCAGGAAUAAUUGGAUCCCACCAACAGCAAACCUAAUAAUCCAGCAGCAGCUUCUUCAAGCUCAGAUGAUGAUGUUGUGCAUGGGGAUCAUCCUGAGCUGCUGUGCUGAUACAAGAAUGACUUGGAUGUUUGUCUGCUAGUACACUAAAGAGAUGAGCAGAGACCUUGGGUGGCUCCUGUGACUGAAGACAUUGCUGCCACCCUGGCACAUUGCAUUUCUCCAUCUGAACCGGAGGUGAAUUUCAGAUGAAAUUUCCAGCUGGUUUCAUGCCUGCCUGCUCCUCCAUUUGAAUUAGUAAGUCUGUAAUGGAAUUAUAGCAUGUCUGUGCCAGUAAUGUUUAUACAGCAGGCAGUAUGCCAAAGGCUUGACAAUAUCAUAACUUAAUUAAAUGUGAGUGUAUGUAUGAACAAAAAGAUAAUUCAGUUGUGCUUAGGGUAUAUAGCCUCUGCUUGUCAGGCUUUCCUGCUUAACCUACAACUUCUUGGACAGAAUAUUUUUAUCUUCUGCUGGCCAAGGUCUCUUGUGAUACUGCUUACAUACCAAGCCAGUUCACAAAUGCUUUGUAAUCACAGCAUAUUUCGAGCACUCUCUUCCUCCUGUUCCUAUUCUUUUACCCAUUUCAGUUUAAUUUCCCUCUAUGGGGUACUGAGUCUGAGUCCCACUUGCAGUGGAGAUUUUCCUUCCCUUGACUGCAAAGGCAUUCUGGGCAACAGACUCCCAUUUUGUACAAGUGAAAGUGAAUACCUGCAGUGUGAGUCUGGGUAUUUUCUCUCCCUCUUUUAUAAUUUCCCUUUUUUCUUUCUCAGUUUCUUGUUUGUCUCUGGAUAGGUUUUCCUCUUCUUCAAUCUAAAGCCUCUUCUAUUUUUCUCAUAAAACAAAUCCACAUUUUACUUGCCAGUUUGCUCCCUCUUCACAGCCUGAAGAUCUCAUGCUGCUCUGUGCUGGCUACAGAGGUGGGGAAGGUGCAUCGAGUGAGACUGACUCAAUCUCCCUGUGACACUGUUUUCAGGCAGGAGUAGAGUCUUCCUGCUUUCUGGCAUAGAUGAUGUUCACUCUUUUGGAGCAGCAGUCAGACUAAGGGUUAUGUUGAUUUAAUAAAUAUUUUUUAUUUUAUCUUUUUGGGGCAGGACCUGAAUUUAUAAUGAGGCAAGGAAGG